AGUGAACGCUGGCGGUAGGCCUAACACAUGCAAGUCGAACGGCAGCACAGUAAGAGCUUGCUCUUACGGGUGGCGAGUGGCGGACGGGUGAGGAAUACAUCGGAAUCUACUUUUUCGUGGGGGAUAACGUAGGGAAACUUACGCUAAUACCGCAUACGACCUGCGGGUGAAAGCAGGGGAUCUUCGGACCUUGCGCGAUUGAAUGAGCCGAUGUCGGAUUAGCUAGUUGGCGGGGUAAAGGCCCACCAAGGCGACGAUCCGUAGCUGGUCUGAGAGGAUGAUCAGCCACACUGGAACUGAGACACGGUCCGGGCUCCUACGGGAGGCAGCAGUGGGGAAUAUUGGACAAAGGGCGCAAGCCUGAUCCAGCCAUACCGCGUGGGUGAAGAAGGCCUUCGGGUUGUAAAGCCCUUUUGUUGGGAAAGAAAAGCAGCAGGUUAAUACCCCGCUGUUCUGACGGUACCCAAAGAAUAAGCACCGGCUAACUUCGUG
rnacentral:rRNA from 1 species